GAUAUACUGCUGAUAGUCAAAUCAUUGUUGUUCUUGUAUUGAUGUAAUCAUUUUCUUUGUUUUAACAGGGUCAGCAAAAUGCUCAUCAAUGUCCAGUACCAUGGAGAAAAAAGUACCUCAAACUGCAGCCUGGUUUUUCCUUUCAAAGUUUAAUUCGAGAAGGCACAUCAAUCCACUGGUGCAAAAGAAGAGAACACCUCUGCCAUAGGAGAUUCAGCAGAAAAAGGCCAAACAGAUGGUCCAGGAGGUUCUGGAGAAGAGUUAAAUGGGAGAGGAAAUAAUGGAGGAGUAUAGUAGAGCACCUUGACACACUGUACAAGAAGGCAUCUUCUGAAUAUCCUGGUCCAUGGGAUACCAGUACGAAGUCAAGGAAAAAGAUAUGCACUCGGCAUUGUGACUGUUUCCUAAUCUCAGGGAUCCUUACUCCACCAAUGGCUAUGAACACUUCUACGAUGCUGGAAGAGGGACUGGCUAUCUGGCAUUGCGCCUAAAGCAACGAGUGUCGCAGCGUUUGGUCAAGAACAGCUCGGGAGCCUUGGAAUACAUGAACACCAUGAGCUUUUUAAGGAGGUAGACUUUCUAAUGAGACACAGCACUCAAAAAAUCCUCCAUAGAAAUGCAUGGGGUUAGUUUGUAACGUAUGGUGGUGUCUACAUAUAUCACACCCCCCUCCGUGGCAAAACGUGGACAUGUAAAUACAUUGAGCCAAUCAUGUGGUGUGUUGUGAAGACAUUGAUUGUGCCAAUCAUGUGUUGUGAUCUUGCCGCUGGAGCAAGAUUGGUGUUGUGAAGCCUGCCGAAAGUGCCCAAAAUGCGUUGCAAUAUGGCUGCUGAGUGGAGGGACUUGCCUAAAAGGACUUUGGGUAUACCCACAUGUAACAUCACUUCAUGGUGCAUUAUCUGUCUUGCUUAUGGAAAAUUGGCCCAUUAUUGCACAUCUCUAGUAAUAGGUUUGAAGCAAAACACAAGUUUGUGAAAUUGUAAAAAACUCUUGAUUAUAUUGUUUUAUUUCUUGUUUAUGAAAUGUUUACUCAGUGUUGCAGAGCAUUUUCAUGCAUAUGUGGUUAUGGAUUGUGAGGGACAUUGUUUUAUUGUUAAAGUCAAUGAUUUGUAUGAGUAUAAGGCCUUUGCUCAACAAAAUGCUUAUGGACCAAACUUUGACAUAUAUAUUGUACCUCUGCACAUUGAUUUGAGCCAUAUCAUGGCAAAUGUUAAUAAAAAAAGAAAAGUAAUUAA